ACAUUAAAACACACACACACACACACACACACACACACACACACACACACACACAGCACUGGUCAGAGGGGAAGUUGCUGAAAAGCCUUCCCUGCAUCUGCUGACCUUUUAGACAGCUCCGGUUAAUCAUUUAUCCCUCUGGCCUAUCUGAUCAUCAAAGAUUAACUCCUCUCCAGCCCUGCUUCCAUGUUCUCUGGCCUCACCUUUGAGUUUCUGUCUGGGAUAAGAAUGGUGGCUUCUUGCCCGCUCCCCUUGACUGUUUUGACCUUCAGCACCCUGCCUGCAGGGAGCUGGCGAUGGAGAGCCCUUGUCUGUGGAAUCCCAAGAAUCAAGCACGCUGAAGGAUUGGGCUUGGGGAUCCUCUCCAGCCAGCCCAGACACCCACAGGUCAGAGACUCUGCCUCUGGGCACCCAGAAGGAUCAGACUGUCAGCUGGUAAGGAGCUGGUCACGGAGAGUGCGAUCGGUAUGCUUUGCUUUGAGCAUCCAUGAUGUACCUUCCCUGCAUUCAGCUGGACUCUGGGCUUUUUCAUUAUAACUGAGGGAAUCCCCAUUUCAGUUACCUGGGAGAUCACAGGCAGUGGGUGGGGAGUGUGAGAGAUCUGAGAAGAAGGAUACUGAAGACAGAAGCUGGAAGGAUCCCAGGGCAUUUGCUCUAGGCUUUUAUAAGAAGGUGUCUGUCUGCCUGAUCCACCCUUCAAAGGCCUUUGGGAAGACCAAGAAUGGGACACAACCUGCCUCGUGCUCCCACUUGUGCCUGCCCCCCAACACUUGCCCAUUAGAGGACUUCCCCUGCCCAGCCCUC